UCAAAAACAUGUCUUUUUGAUAAUAAUUUAAAGUCUAAUCUGCCCACUGAUAUAAAUAUUAAAGGGCUGCAGUAUAUUGACUGUACAAAGGUAGCAUAAUCAUUAGUCUUUUAAUUGAAGACUUGUAUGAAGGAUUUGAUGAAAUAUAAUCUGUCUCUAUUUUAUUAAUAGAAAUUAAUUUUUUAGUUAAAAAGCUAAAAUAAUGUUAAAAGACGAGAAGACCCUAUAAAGUUUUAUAGUUUAUUUAUUUUUUAUUAAUUAUAAAAAUAAAUAUAAUAAUUAAGUAAAUUAUUUUAUUGGGGUGAUAGAAAAAUUAAAUAAACUUUUUUUAAAAUAAAACAUAAAUAAGUGAAAUAUUGAUCCAUUAAUAAUGAUUAAAAGAAAAAAUUACUUUAGGGAUAACAGCGUAAUAUUUUUUUUUAGUACGAAUAAAAAAAAAAGUUUGCGACCUCGAUGUUGGAUUAAGAUAAAAUUUAAAUGCAAAAGUUUAAAAUUUUGAUCUGUUCGAUCAUUAAAAUCUUACAUGAUCUGAGCU
rnacentral:rRNA from 1 species